AUGAGAGGCACACCUGGAUAUUUAGCUCCUGAAUGGUUGACAUCACAGAUCACGGAAAAGGUCGAUGUCUAUAGCUUUGGUGUUGUGGUCAUGGAAGUCAUCAGCGGAAGAAAGAACCUCGACAAUUCUCGAUCCGAAGAGAGCAUCCAUCUCAUCACCAUUGAGGAAAAGGUGAAGACUAAUCGGUUGGUAGAAUUGAUUGACAAUAAGAGUAACGAUAUGCUAGCACAUAAGCAGGAUGUAAUUGGGAUGAUGAACCUCGCAAUGUGGUGUUUGCAGAUUGACUACAAAAGAAGGCCUAAAAUGUCUGAGGUAGUCAAGGUCUUGAAAGGUGCCAUGAAUGCAGAGAGCAACAUUGAUCAUAACUUCGUUGCAACAAGUCAAGUGUAUUUCGGCGCUGCUGGAAAUGUGGGCUUAUCGGUUCCAUAUCUAGCUUCACAUGUAUCAGGUCCUAGGUGA
rnacentral:rRNA from 1 species